GACGAACGCUGGCGGCGUGCCUAAUACAUGCAAGUCGAACGCAGUGGGGACGGGUGAGUAACACGUGGGUAACCUCCCAUCAGAGGGGAUAACACUUGGAAAUAGGUGCUAAACCGAUAGCGACGGAUGGACCCGCGGUUGAUUAGCUAGUUGGUGAGGUAACGGCUCACCAAGGCCACGAUGCAGAGCCGACCUGGGAGGGUGAGCGGCCCCACUGGGACUGAGACACGGCCCAGACUCCUCCGGGAGGCAGCAGUAGGGAAUCUGCGGCAAUGGACGAAAGUCUGACCGAGCAACGCCGCGUGAGUCAAGAAGGUUUUCGGAUCGUAAAACUCUUUUGUUAGAGAAGCGGUAUCUAACCAGAAAGCCACGGCUAACUACGUGCCAGCCGCCGCGGUAAUUC
rnacentral:rRNA from 1 species